rnacentral:tRNA from 1 species
GGGCGAAGUGGCGGGCGGAGCCGCGGGCGGGCUCAGAUCUUGCCGCGGCACAGCUCCAGCAGGGUCAUCGCCAGGGUCGUGCCCGGCUUGCCGA